rnacentral:rRNA from 1 species
CCUACGGGUGGCAGCAGUGAGGAAUAUUGGUCAAUGGACGAGAGUCUGAACCAGCCAAGUCGCGUGAGGGAUGACUGCCCUAUGGAUUGUAAACUUCUUUUGUCUGGGAAUAAAACGUUCCACGUGUGGGCUUUUGUGUGUACCUUAUGAAUAAGCAUCGGCUAACUCCGUGCCAGCAGCCGCGGUAAUACGGAGGAUCCGAGCGUUAUCCGGAUUUAUUGGGUUUAAAGGGUGCGUAGGUGGUUUGUUAAGUCAGUGGUGAAAGUUUGCGGCUCAACCCCAAAAUCGCAGUUGAAACUGGCAGUCGUGAGUACGGUAGAGGUGUGCGGAAUGCGUGGUGUAGCGGUGAAAUGCUUAGAUAUCGCGAAGAACUCCGAUUGCGAAGGCAGUUCACUGGACUCCAACUGACACUGAGGCACGAAAGUGUGGGUAUCGAACAGGAUUAGAUACCCCAGUAGUC